AACGAACGCUGGCGGCAGGCCUAACACAUGCAAGUCGAGCGAAGCCUUCGGGUUUAGCGGCGGACGGGUGAGUAACGCGUGGGAAUAUGCCCUUUGGUACGGAACAGUCCCGGGAAACUGGGUUUAAUACCGUAUGUGGUCCUUCGUAGUGGAUACGGGGGACGAAAGAUUUAUCGCCAAAGGAUUAGCCCGCGUUGGAUUAGGUAGUUGGUGGGGUAACGGCCUACCAAGCCGACGAUCCAUAGCUGGUUUGAGAGGAUGAUCAGCCACACUGGGACUGAGACACGGCCCAGACUCCUACGGGAGGCAGCAGUGGGGAAUCUUAGACAAUGGGGGCAACCCUGAUCUAGCCAUGCCGCGUGAGUGAUGAAGGCCUUAGGGUUGUAAAGCACUUUCAGCUGGGAAGAUAAUGACGGUACCAGCAGAAGAAGCCCCGGCUAACUCCGUG
rnacentral:rRNA from 1 species